AACCUCAUUGAUUGGAAGGAAUUUCUUCCAAUCUGAGGUUGUUAUGAUUGGAAGGAAUUCCUUUCAAUCAAUGAGGUU
rnacentral:miRNA from 1 species